rnacentral:rRNA from 1 species
UACGGGGGGGGCAAGCGUUGUUCGGAAUUACUGGGCGUAAAGGGCUCGUAGGCGGCCAACUAAGUCGGACGUGAAAUCCCUCGGCUUAACCGGGGAACUGCGUCCGAUACUGGAUGGCUUGAGUUCGGGAGAGGGAUGCGGAAUUCCAGGUGUAGCGGUGAAAUGCGUAGAUAUCUGGAGGAACACCGGUGGCGAAGGCGGCAUCCUGGACCGAUAUUGACGCUGAUGCGCGAAAGCCAGGGGAGCAAACGGG